rnacentral:rRNA from 1 species
CCUACGGGAGGCAGCAGUGAGGAAUAUUGGUCAAUGGGCGGAAGCCUGAACCAGCCAAGCCGCGUGAGGGAAGAAGGUGCCACGCAUCGUAAACCUCUUUUGUCAGGGAACAAAGUCAGGGACGAGUCCCUGUAUGAGGGUACCUGAAGAAAAAGCAUCGGCUAACUCCGUGCCAGCAGCCGCGGUAAUACGGAGGAUGCGAGCGUUAUCCGGAUUUAUUGGGUUUAAAGGGUGCGCAGGCGGCCUGUUAAGUCAGCGGUAAAAGCCCGGGGCUCAACCCCGGCGAGCCGUUGAAACUGGCGGGCUCGAGUUGGAGAGAAGUAGGCGGAAUGCGCGGUGUAGCGGUGAAAUGCUUAGAUAUCGCGCAGAACCCCGAUUGCGAAGGCAGCGUGCCGGCUCCACACUGACGCUGAGGCACGAAAGCGUGGGUAUCGAACAGGAUUAGAUACCCCGGUAGUC